CAAUAGCGUAUAUUUAAGUUGUUGCAGUUAAAAAGCUCGUAGUUGGAUUUCGGAUGGGACUUGCCGGUCCGUCGUUGCGAUGUGCACUGGCCAGUCCUAUCUUGUUGUCGGGGACUAGCUCUUGGUCUUCACUGGCCGGGACUAGGAGCUGACGAGGUUACUUUGAGUAAAUUAGAGUGUUCAAAGCAGGCCUACGCUCUGAAUACAUUAGCAUGGAAUAACACGAUAGGACUCUGGCCUAUCUUGUUGGUCUGUAGGACCGGAGUAAUGAUUAAGAGGGACAGUCGGGGGCAUUCGUAUUUCAUUGUCAGAGGUGAAAUUCUUGGAUUUAUGAAAGACGAACUACUGCGAAAGCAUUUGCCAAGGAUGUUUUCAUUAA
rnacentral:rRNA from 1 species